UACAGAGGGUGCGAGCGUUAAUCGGAAUUACUGGGCGUAAAGCGUGCGUAGACGGUUAUUUAAGUCGGGUGUGAAAGCCCCGGGCUCAACCUGGGAAUUGCAUUCGAGACUGAAUAGCUAGGGUACGGUAGAGGGAAGCGGAAUUUCCGGUGUAGCGGUGAAAUGCGUAGAUAUCGGAAGGAACAUCAGUGGCGAAAGCGGCUUCCUGGACCAGUACCGACGUUCAGGCACGAAAGCCAGGGGAGCAAACGGG
rnacentral:rRNA from 1 species